UACGAAGGGGGCUAGCGUUGCUCGGAAUCACUGGGCGUAAAGCGCACGUAGGCGGAUCUUUAAGUCAGGGGUGAAAUCCUGGAGCUCAACUCCAGAACUGCCUUUGAUACUGAGGAUCUCGAGUCCGGGAGAGGUGAGUGGAACUGCGAGUGUAGAGGUGAAAUUCGUAGAUAUUCGCAAGAACACCAGUGGCGAAGGCGGCUCACUGGCCCGGUACUGACGCUGAGGCACGAAAGCGUGGGGAGCAAACAG
rnacentral:rRNA from 1 species